GCGGUGUUAGCUCAGCCGGGAGAGCAUUUGCCUUACAAGCAAGAGGUCGGGGGUUCGAGCCCCUCACACCGCACCA
rnacentral:tRNA from 1 species